AACAGGAUUCAUCCACACUUCAACCAAUCUGUUCUGCCUUCUGCUGAUCCCUGCAUUUUGCUCCAAUGCUCUAAAUGAAAGCCUUUCCCACAGUGACCAAAAUGACCACUUUGUAUACCACAUGAGUGAUGCUUUUAAUUUCUCUCUCUGCUACUUCAGACACGUAUUAGAAAAUAAAUGGUUAUAACCGUACACUUCUGGAAACAUAAAUAAGUGUGCCACUUCCACUGAGCACAUUCACAUCAUGAUGAGCCCAGUCUGCAAAGAGAACCUUAUUUUAAUAUAUUUGACCAAAUUCUACAUCAAAUCAUAUUCUCAGACAUUUACAUAUUGCUGCAUAGAUGAGGACAAAUUUUGUACCACAAUACUGAGAAUUACUCUGUUUGAUAUCACAGUUUCAGUCCUGAGAGGCUUGUGCCAGAGAUGGAAAGACUGAUGUUGCCACAGUAGAAACAGAGGAAACUUACGGAGUGUUUUUUUUUAUCACCAGAAGGCAGAAAACUGCAACUACAUAACAGCUCUGAUUUUAAAAUUCACAUCAUUUUAUGUGAGGAUAUUUUCUAUACCUAGACCAAAUAUCACCUUUAAAUGAAUGCUUUAAGCACAUGAAAUGUCACUGUAAUGUGUAAAUGUACAAUGAAAGAUCUUCAAAGAUUUUCACAGAUCCUAUUAGAAAAAGUGCUUACAUAUGAGUCAUUUCACUUUUCUGUUUUAUACUCUGUAGUCUAUCCUUCUUUCUAAUUGCACAUUUUGUUGGUCUAACUUAUUUGUGCUAGAUGAAUCAGAUCAAACCACAUAACAGUCACAGUAUAAGAAUCCAUUUUCUUGGCACCUGUGUGAUCUUUUUUCUCCUCUUCUUUGUAAAUCCCUGAUAUGUCCUUGACAAGAAAUGUCUUAUUCAAUACACAUAUACUUAGUCUGAAAGAUUUCUGAGAAAGGUUUUUAUUUUAAACUGGUUGAAUGGACUAAUUUCUCUGUCACUAAAACAGUAGUAUAGUGUAACAGCAUUGUGUGUAGGUGGCUCCAAAAGUAAUGUCUCCUAAUUAUUUCUGUGGAAACUACAACAGAUAAAAAGAGCACAAUAACACCAUAUGAUAGAGCAAAUUC
rnacentral:lncRNA from 7 species